GAUGAACGCUGGCGGCGUGCCUAAUACAUGCAAGUCGAGCGAACAGACGAGGAGCUUGCUCCUCUGACGUUAGCGGCGGACGGGUGAGUAACACGUGGAUAACCUACCUAUAAGACUGGGAUAACUUCGGGAAACCGGAGCUAAUACCGGAUAAUAUAUUGAACCGCAUGGUUCAAUAGUGAAAGACGGUUUUGCUGUCACUUAUAGAUGGAUCCGCGCCGCAUUAGCUAGUUGGUAAGGUAACGGCUUACCAAGGCGACGAUGCGUAGCCGACCGGAGAGGGUAUUGGCCAACAUGGGAAUUGGGACCCGUUCCAGAUACUUAGGGGAGGACGAGUAGGGAAUUCUUCGGAAAUGGGCAAAAGCUUGACGAGCAAACGCGGCUGAAGUAAUGAAGUACUUCGAUCCGUAAACCUCUGUAUUAGGGAAGAACAAAUGUGUAAGUAACUAUGCACGUCUUGACGGUACCUAAUCAGAAAGCCACGGCUAACUACGUG
rnacentral:rRNA from 1 species